UGGGGAAUUUUGGACAAUGGGCGAAAGCCUGAUCCAGCAAUGCCGCGUGCAGGAAGAAGGCCUUCGGGUUGUAAACUGCUUUUGUCAGGGAAGAAAUCUUCUGGGCUAAUACCCCGGGAGGAUGACGGUACCUGAAGAAUAAGCACCGGCUAACUACGUGCCAGCAGCCGCGGUAAUACGUAGGGUGCGAGCGUUAAUCGGAAUUACUGGGCGUAAAGCGUGCGCAGGCGGCUUUGCAAGACAGAUGUGAAAUCCCCGGGCUCAACCUGGGAACUGCAUUUGUGACUGCAAGGCUAGAGUACGGCAGAGGGGGAUGGAAUUCCGCGUGUAGCAGUGAAAUGCGUAGAUAUGCGGAGGAACACCAAUGGCGAAGGCAAUCCCCUGGGCCUGUACUGACGCUCAUGCACGAAAGCGUGGGGAGCAAACA
rnacentral:rRNA from 1 species